rnacentral:lncRNA from 1 species
AGUUGCAGCAGGCAAGGGAUGGAGAAAUGAGGCCUCUGGGAAUGAAAGUGUGGAGUCAGCUUUGGGCAAAUGGAAAUUGAAUGGAAGGAGCAUCUCAGGAAGAAGGCUAAGAAGGCAAAACAGAGCUUGCAUUGCAGGAGGCAGACUUCAGACCAGGCUUAGGGUGAGGGAACAAAGACGUCUCAGUGCCCCGGCUGAGAAAUUGGACAAGAAAGACGGGACCCGUGCUCCCCUACAGGAGGUGGGCUGAGGGCAGAGCUGUUUGCCUGGCAGAGGAGGAGCAAACAGCCAUGUUGUAAAUGGCCUCUGAGGAGGACUGGCCUCUAGGAGUUGAGGACCUCAAGCCUACAUCUGCAAGGAAUUGAACGAUGCCAAGAACCCGAACAAACUCUGAAGAUGAGAAUGCGGCCCUGUGCCAAGACUGGCUGCCUUCCCCUGUUUCUGUACCACACUGGUUCCUGAAGCUAUUUGAGUUUGAGACUGCUGGGGUAACCUGACCCACUUCAAGGAUCUGAAAGUAUUUUACAGUUGGUUGAAUCCAUGGAUGUGGAACCCAUGGAUGUGAAGGACUGACUGUACUUUGCACUAGUGGUUCUCAAAGUGUGGGCCCUGGACCAGUGGCAGCAGCAUCACCUGGGAACUUGUGAGAAAUGCACUUUUCAGCUCCUGUUUCAGAUGGACCUAUCAGAAUCUCUGCAGGAACAUUUUGAAGUCCCCUCAUAUACAAUGAAAUGAUAGAUUUGUCAACACAGAUAAAUCUCAAAAACACAAUAAGUGAAGAAAGUAAGUUGCAGAUGGAAAUAAUAUGUGAUGGUCAAACAAUCUAGAUGUUUCCGUGAAGGUGUUUUUGGAUGAGACUAACAUUGACAUUGGUGGACUUUGAGUAAAGCAGGUUGCCUGCGUGCCAUAAUGUGGGUAUUCUCAUCCAAUCAGUUGCGGGAUUUAACAGAGCAAAGACUGAGGUCCCCUGAGAAAAUAGGAUUCCACCAGCAGACAGCCUUCAGCCUUGAACUGCAGUGUCACCUCUUCACUGGGCCUCCCAACCUGCUGACACUUUGAUCUUGGACUUCUAGCCUCCAUAACUGUGUGAGCCAAUUCCCUAAAAUAAAUCUCUCUCUGUACACAUUCUAUGGUUAUGUU